rnacentral:rRNA from 1 species
GACGUAGGGCGCGAGCGUUGUCCGGAUUUAUUGGGCGUAAAGAGCUCGUAGGCGGCUUGUCGCGUCGAAUGUGAAAACCCGGGGCUCAACUUCGGGCUUGCAUUCGAUACGGGCAGGCUUGAGUUCGGUAGGGGAGACUGGAAUUCCUGGUGUAGCGGUGAAAUGCGCAGAUAUCGGGAGGAACACCAACGGCGAAGGCAGCUUGCUGGGACGGUACUGACGCUGAGAUGCGAAAGCGUGGGGAGCAAACAGG